UCCGUCCGAUGAGCCUAAUUAAUUUAAUUCUUAAAUUAACAUUCCGAGGGGUAUUAUGGUAACUUCAGACUACAUAACUGCCCCGCACGACCAGACCUCGUGAGUCGUGACCACUCCCCGCGCCGCCCCUGCCUCGCCUCUGUUUCCUCCCCUUAGCCGCCGCCGCUCGCCGAACGAGCAGCCGCUCGCCGGACGCGGAAGCGCCCCCUGCCUCGCCUCCGUUUCUUACCCUUACCCGCCGCCGCUCGCCGGAUACGGAGACGCUCACUGACGCGCCAAUGAAUCAGCGCUCCGCCUCCGCAUCCAUUUCUGCACCUCUCCCGGAUCGCCUUCCUCACCUAGGAGCUCGGCCUGCUCGCACUCGAGAUCGUCCGCUUCGUGCAGGAGGUUGCUCGAACCUCUCGGAAGGUGCACUGCACCGGAACCGCCGGGGAUCUCCCACUCCGAACCCCCGCGGCGGCCACGGCCGUUCACUCCAGAGCCACGUUCACGCCAGUGAUCUCCACCUGAAAGUGCAGAGGUCCUCAAAGACAUCUAGACACAUUAAGAAUUCAACGUUGUAUUUACAAUCGGGAAGAAAUAAAAAAAAACACCAGUUGAGGAUGUUGUGCAGGUACAAGAGGACUGAAGCCAAAGAAGUGGAAAAGUUUGAACUCAAAAUGCGGCUAUUGCAGGGUGGAGGGUCACAAUCGGUGUAAAUGCACCAAGCGGAUAGAGGACAACAAUCUGGCGGAACCUUGUUAGCUCUCUACACUUUGGGCUUUGUCUUAGGGGUUUUUUUUUUUGAAUAAUCCUAGAUGAUUACUUUACUUUUGUUGUUAAGUUCUGAAAAUAUAAGUGCAUACACAAAAUUGUGUGAACCACCUUCCUACUUCGCCUUUGAUGCUUUGAAAUUUCGAGCCAUGGGUGCAAUGCUCAGAAGAUGCUUUAAAUCACUGACCAUGACUAGUGUUGCUUGUGUGCAGGCGUUGGUGAUCUUUCAAUCCAAUAAGGGAGGCUAAUAUCGGAGUCUACAAAUGCUUCUUGGAUCAGGACAUGCUUAGCUAUUGCCUCACUUUGUCUAGGAAUUCCUUUUCCACGGAUUAUUUGCCUAAAUUUUCUAGAAAUUUACACUACAGUGCUCUUAGUUAGCAAUGUUUUAUCACAUUUCCUACAGACUGCACAAGUAUUUUGUAGCUUUGGGGUUCUGGGAAGAAUGAUAAGGAUCAUGCUGGAA